AAUUUUGAGUAGGCGCGGUUGAUUUUAGAUCAACUGAGGAAAGUCCACGCACGCACAGACUGCGAUGUCUGUAGUGAUCGUAUUCAGCCCAAUAAGCUGGAGGAGAAUCUUUGAUUUUCACGGCGGAAAAAGUGCUAAAUCUGCGGACAUGCAUUACUAUCCUGAAAAGUGCCACAGUGACGAAGCAAGAUCAGAAAUGAUCUUGGUGGAACGAGGUAAACCCUGCGAGUGUGAAACCCAAAUUUGGUGGGGGAGUUUCGGUCAAAGGAAAUGAACUAAAGACCGGAUUAUUGUGACUAGCAAUAAAGAUAGAUGACUACUGAAGGUGAUUCUGCCAAAAUCACUGGAACAAAACGUGGCUUAUAGAA
rfam:Lactobacillus kefiranofaciens subsp. kefirgranum DSM 10550 = JCM 8572 strain DSM 10550 NODE_317, whole genome shotgun sequence.